rnacentral:rRNA from 1 species
GACGAACGCUGGCGGCGUGCUUAACACAUGCAAGUCGAACGAAGUGGCGAACGGGUGAGUAAUACGUGGGUAACCUGCCCUCCUUUUUGGGAUAAGCCUUGGAAACGGGGUCUAAUACCGAAUAAAGGGGGUUGGGCUCGCGGCCUAUCAGCGUGUUGGUGGGGUGAUGGCCUACCAAGGCGGUGACGGGUAGCCGGCCUGGGAGGGUGACCGGCCACAUUGGGACUGGGACACGGUCCAAACUCCUACGGGAGGCAGCAGUGAGGAAUAUUGGUCAAUGGAUGCAAAUCGGAACCAGCCAAGUAGCGUGCAGGAUGACGGCCUAUGGGUUGUAAACUGCUUUUAUGUGAGAAUAUGUAUCACAUGAAUAAGGACCGGCUAAUUCCGUGCCAGCAGCCGCGGUAAUAC